CUCCCCUUCCCCAUCUCCCUGAACGACUAGGAUUUGUAAUAAACUGGUCGGACCAACAUUUGAACCGUUGUUUCUUAAUCUCAUGCUGGGUAUACACACAUCAAAGAACCUCAUCUCCCUCCGAUAAAUUGGAGCGAGACAUGAGGGAACUGGCUGAGGCAGUUGCUAAGCCAGUCUUCACCAUAUUUAAAAAUGUAUGUUAGUCAGGCAAAAUCACUAUUGACUGUAAAAAAGGGUAAUGUCACACUCAUUGUGGAAAAGGGUAAAAAGAAGGACCCUGGUAACUACAGAACAGUCAACCUUGCCUUUGUACCCAGGAAGAUCAUGGAACAAAUCAUCCUGGAAAUUAUGUUAAUACAUAUGGACAACAGUGAGGUGAUGUAACAGUCAGCAUGAAUUCACUAAGGGCAAAUACUUCCUGACCAAUCGUGUGGCCUUGUACAAUGGACUGACUGCAACAGUGGACAAAGAAAGAGCAAUGGUUGCUACUUGGACUUCUCUAAGACCUUUGAUACAGUCCCCCACAACAUUCUUGCCUCUACAUUGUAGGAAUAUAGGUUUCAUGGAUGGACUGUUCAGUUGAUAAGGAAUUGGCUGGAUGACUGUGGAGAGAUUUAUUGAUGACUGGCUGACUGAGAAAAGCCAUGCAGACACUGUGCAGCUGGUUAAGCAACCUUGUUACGCGCAAGGUCAGGUAUGAGAACAAGGAAUAAAACAGGAUGCCGAUGGAGAAAGCCGGCAACAGUGUUUUGAGAAGUCUGUAAGAGAGUGUUUGCUGAGAGAUAACCACAGAGCACAAAGAUAGGCGUAGUUGACACUGACUAGCGAGACAAUCCUGAGCUCCACUCUAGCAAUAUGUAUGAGCCUAUUAUCCACACUAUAAAUGUACACGCAGCUGAAACAAUAAACGAGAUUUGCUGAUCAUCUACUAUGGUCGUCGCAUUUCUCCCGCUGAUUUCCUACAGAUGACCAUGUCCGAAUGUCAAUGGCUCAAUGUCCAAGUGGAAAUCAGCAACGAGUGGGUCCAUCUUGGGACCAGUACUAUUUAAUAUCUUCAUUAAUUAUGUAGAUAGAGGGAUUGAGUGCACCAUCAACAAUUUUGUGGAUGACACCAAGCUGAGUGGUGCAGAUGAGAGAACGGUUGCUAUCCAGAGGGACACUGACAGGCUUGAGGGCCCACGUGAACCUCAUGAAGUUCAAAUAGGCCAAGUGCAAGGUGCUGCACCUAGGUCACGGUAAUCCCUGGUAUCAGUACAGACUGGAAGUUGAAUAGAUUAUAAGCAGCCCUGAAGAAAAAGAAUUGGAGAUAUUGGUAGAUGAAGACAUGAGCUG
rnacentral:lncRNA from 1 species